rnacentral:lncRNA from 1 species
GCCACCACCUCUCGGCCGGCGGAGAGGUGGGGCUCGGCUGGGGCUGGCGGCCUUGAGGCCGCGUUGGUCGCCGGCACGGCAGACCCGGCGGCCCUUGGCUGCCCCUCAGCCCUAGGGCAGCCAUGGCCGGGGCCUGUCACCCGCAGGCCGAGUCCGGCUGGGCUCGGCCCGGGUGGCGUUGGGCUCGGCUUGGGCCGUUCUCAGGCCGGCCCGCGGCCUGUGGGUCCGGCCCACGGCCCUCCUCCUGUUUUUCUCUCCCGUGCCGGUCUCCCCCUCUCUGUGCCAGUCUCCUCCAUUCUGUGCCAGUCUCCUCCCCUCUGUUUCAUCAGUGAAACAGAGGGGAGAAUACCCCACAGAGGGGUUUCUCCUUGCUUUAUGAUUUUAUUAACAGGGAGUCCAUACCUGGUUUUAGUCGGGUGUAGUCGGGUGUAGUCGGGCAGUGCUUCCUCCCUGGUAGUCCCCCCUUCUUCAGAGCUCCAGGGCUCCUUGGCCUUAGGCUCCAGGGCUCCGGCUCCCUCUCUCUUUCUCUCGUUCGGUGUUUAGGGGGGUCUGUGACUUGGGGUUGCCGGCAGAGGCUUAAAUAACUGAUUAGAGGAUGAAACCCUCCUCUGAGACGUCCCAUCCUCUCCUUUCCUCCAUACUCCGGGACUGGCCGCCGCCCCCCCUUGUCUUCGGCGCGCCGGCAUCGGCUGCCAGCAGGGGUGAGGGUCACCCUUCCCUGUCGGUCUUAUCCCUUCGUAUUUUAAUAUUUUUUUUUUCUGAUAAGUAUUAUAAUUAUACUGCCUACAGUGACAUUUGGGCCCAACCCUUAN